CCACUUCGGUGGGGAUUAGUGGCGAACGGGUGAGUAACACGUGGGCAAUCUGCCCUGCACUCUGGGACAAGCCCUGGAAACGGGGUCUAAUACCGGAUACUGACCACUGGGGGCAUCCUCGGUGGUCGAAAGCUCCGGCGGUGCAGGAUGAGCCCGCGGCCUAUCAGCUUGUUGGUGAGGUAGUGGCUCACCAAGGCGACGACGGGUAGCCGGCCUGAGAGGGCGACGGGCCACACUGGGACUGAGACACGGCCCAGACUCCUACGGGAGGCAGCAGUGGGG
rnacentral:rRNA from 1 species